rnacentral:lncRNA from 1 species
AAUUUGAAGUGCCUGACUGGGUGGCCGGGAGACGGAGUCUCGGGGUCGCGUGCACCUGGGCGGCCAGGGAGGCUCCAGUGCCCGGGAGAAAGGCAAGAAAACUGAGGCACAGAGAGAUUGUCACACAGCCAGUAAGGUUUCUUUCAAAAUGAAGAUUCACGCAGUGAUUGUAACUGUCUUGAUGAGCCAGGUUGUAGUUUACAAAGUUUUAUUCCAGAAGGAAAAAAGCCACUUCACCUAGAAAUUUUGCAAACAAAUCAACUUUUACUCUGUGAGUAAUCCAGGGCCUAUCAAGACUACAUUUUAGUUGACUGCAAGGCCUCUGAGGCACGGGAAUUCACAGCUGAGUUCUUGGAGAAGGUCCUUGAGCCAUCUGGAUGGCGGACAGUCUGGCACAUGAUGUGCUCAAGGUGCUGCUUGAGGCCACAGAUGUGGACAUUUCAGCCUUGAAGGCAGUGGUGCAGCUUGCUGAGCCAUACCUCUGUGAAUCUUGAGCGAGUACUUUCACCUUGGAGUGUGUGAAAGAGCUCCUCGAGCUGAAGGAACAUCAGUUGCCCCUGAAGGAGCUGGGUGGUGUUUGAUGAUUCUGGAGACAGCACUUGUAACUUGUAACUGAGCAUGUCAGCUAGGAAGGAGGUAUCUGGUCAGAGAAGGUGUUUUCUGAGGCUGCUUCCUGGAUCCCUAGGGUUUGUGUUCCUGCCAUUCAGCCUAUUUGGCAGUUAUUUCCACCUGUACAAACAGACCCUUUGUCCCUUACAUGAGAAAGAAAGCCCACACCUGGAUUCAUAUUAAUAGGAUAUGGUCUACCAAUUAAUAUUGUGAUAGAAAAGAGGGAAAAAGGUGACACUUCUGUGGACUGCAUGAAUGAGGAUAUUAACAUCUCAGGCAUAAGAUUUGUUCAGCAUGGUGUUAUAAAAGAAAUCUUAAAUGUCUGACUGUUUGGUGUAUUUACUCAUUCUAGGCUUUGAAGGAAAACUUUACUUUCUAUGGAAGAUAGAAUUUAAUGAAAUGCCACUGUUGAGUACAGGAAUACCUAGUUGUAUUGUGCUUUGCAGAUAUUGAAUGUUUUAUACAUUGAAGGUUUGUGGUAACCCUGCUUCGAGUAAGUCUACUUGGCCUCAUUUUUCCAAUAACUGGUGCUCACUUUAUGCCUUUGUGUGACAUUUUGGUAAUUCUCACAAUAUUUCAAAUGUUUUUAUUAUUAUUAUAUUUGUUAUGCUGAUCUGUGACCAGUGGUCUUUGAUAUUACCACUGUAAUUGUUUUGGGGUGAUGUGAACUGCAUCACCAUAGAAAAAUGGUGAACUUAGUAAGUGUUGUGUGUGUUCUGACUAUUCCAACAAUCAGCCAUGCCCCCUUCUCUCUCCCUCUUCUUGGGCUUCUCUAUUCUGAGACAAAGCAAUAUAGAAAGGAGACCAAUUAAUAACCCUACAAUGACAUCUAUGUGUUCAAGUGAAAGGAAGAGUUGCAUGUCCCUCACAUUAAACAAAGUCUAGAAAUGAUUAAGCCUAGUGAGAAAGGCACAUCAAAAGCCAAACACAUGAAUAAGAGAGCAAAACAGCCUUAUUACUAAUAUGGAGAAAGUUUUAGUUGUCAGCAUAGAAGAUUAAAUCAACUACAACAUUCCCUUAAGCAUAAGCCUACACAGCAAGGUCCUAACUCUUUUUAAUUCUGUGAAGGCUGAGAGAGUCAAGGGAGCUACAGAAGAAAAAGUUGGCUAGCAGAGGUUGGUUCAUGAGGUUUAAGGAAAGAAGUCAUCUCUGUAACAUAAAAGUGCAAGGUGAAGCAGUAGUUUCUAUUGUAGAAGCUGCGGAAAGCUAUCCAGAAGAGCUAGCUGAAGUCACUGAUGAAGGUGGCUACACUAAACAGCAGAUUUUCAGUGUAGAUGAAAUGGCCUUCUAUUGGAAGAAGAUGCAUCUAGGACUUUUCAUAACUAGAGAAAAGUCAUUAGUUGGCUUCAAAGCUUCAAAAGACAGGCCAAUUCUCUUACUGGUGACUUUAACUUGAAUCAGUGGUCAAUUACAAUUCUGAAAAUCUUAGGGCCCUUAAGAAUUAUGCUAUGUCUAUUCUGCCUGUGCUCUAGAAAUGGAACAACAAAGCCUGAGUGGUAGCAAAUCCGUUUAUUGCAUUGUUUGCUGAAUAUUUCAAGCCCACUGUUGAGACGCACUGCUCAGAAAAAAAAAAAAAAAUCCUUCCAAAAUAUUGCUUACCGAACAAUGCACCUGGUCACCUGAGAGCUCUGACGGAAAUGUGCGAGGAGAUUAAUAUUCUUUUCAUGCUAACACAACAUCCAUUCUGCAGCCCAUGGAUCAAGGAGUAAUUUCAACUUUCAAGUCUUAAUAUUUAAGAAAUAGACUUCAUAAAGUAUAGCUUCAAUUGAUAGUGAUUUCUCUGAUGGAUCUGGGCAAAGUCAAUUGAAAACCUUCUGGGAAGGAUUCACCACUUAGAUGUCAUUAAGAACAUUCAAGACUCAUGAGAGGAGGUCAGAAUGUCAACAUUAACAUUGGGUUUGGGAGAAAUUGAUUCCAACACUCCCAAACUCUUUGAGGGUCAAGAAGUCAGUGGAGGAAGUAACUGCAGAUGAGUGGAAAUACUAAGAGAACCAGAAUUAGAAGUGGAGCCUGGUGAUGGGACUGAGUUGCUACAAUCUUAUGACAAAACUUGAACAGGUGAGGAGUUGCUUCUUACGGAUGAGCAAAGAAGAUGAUUUCUUGAGAUGGAAUCUACUCCUGGUAAAGAGAAUGAAUAUUGUUGAAAUGACAACAAAGGAUUUAGCAUAGUACGUCAGUGUAGUUGAUAAAGCAGAGGAGGGCUUUGAGAUGAUCAACUCCUAUUUUGAAAAACAUUCUUCUGUGAGUAAAAUGCUAUCAUAACAUCGCAUUACAUGCUACUGAGAAAUCUUUUUCGAAAGGAGGGGUCAAUGCGGCAAACUGUUCGUCUUAUUUUAAGAAAUUGCCACAGCCAGCCCAACCUUCAGCAACCACUAUCCUGAUCAGUCAGCAGCCGUCAACAUUGAGGCAAGACCCUCCACCAGCAAAAAAGAUUAUGAUUUUCUGAAGGUCAGAUGAUCCUUGUAUGUUUUAGCAAA